rnacentral:rRNA from 1 species
AACGAACGCUGGCGGCAGGCUUAACACAUGCAAGUCGAGCGCCCCGCAAGGGGAGCGGCAGACGGGUGAGUAACGCGUGGGAACGUACCCUUUGCUACGGAAUAGCUCCGGGAAACUGGAAUUAAUACCGUAUGUGCUCUACGGGGGAAAGAUUUAUCGGCAAAGGAUCGGCCCGCGUUGGAUUAGCUAGUUGGUGGGGUAAUGACCUACCAAGGCGACGAUCCAUAGCUGGUCUGAGAGGAUGAUCAGCCACAUUGGGACUGAGACACGGCCCAAACUCCUACGGGAGGCAGCAGUGGGGAAUAUUGGACAAUGGGCGCAAGCCUGAUCCAGCCAUGCCGCGUGAGUGAUGAAGGCCUUAGGGUUGUAAAGCUCUUUCACCGGAGAAGAUAAUGACGGUAUCCGGAGAAGAAGCCCCGGCUAACUUCGUGCCAGCAGCCGCCGUAACAC